GAUCUUCUCCUUCAUGGGAGAUGAUUGAAAGAUGGUUUCGGCUAUCACUUACAGAUGGGCCCGCGGUGCAUUAGCUAGUUGGUGAGGUAACGGCUCACCAAGGCAACGAUGCAUAGCCGACCUGAGAGGGUGAUCGGCCACACUGGGACUGAGACACGGCCCAGACUCCUACGGGAGGCAGCAGUAGGGAAUACUUCCGCAAUGGACGAAAGUCUGACGGAGCAACGGGGGCCCGCGUGAGUGAUGAAGGCUUUCGGGUCGUAAAACUCUGUUGUUAGGGAAGAACAAGUACAAGAGUAACUGCUUGUACCUUGACGGUACCUAACCAGAAAGCCACGGCUAACUACGUGCCAGCAGCCGCGGUAAUACGUAGGUGGCAUCAGCGUGUAUCCGGAAUUAUUGGGCGUAAAGCGCGCGACAGGCGGUUUCUUAAGUCUGAUGUGAAAGCCCACGGCUCAACCGUGGAGGGUCAUUGGAAACUGGGGAACUUGAGUGCAGAAGAGAAAAGCGGAAUUCCACGUGUAGCGUGUGAAAUGCGCUAGAGAUGUGGAGGAACACCAGUGGCGAAGGCGGCUUUUUGGUCUGUAACUGACGCU
rnacentral:rRNA from 2 species